GAUGAAGAACGUAGCGAAAUGCGAUAAGUAAUGUGAAUUGCAGAAUUCAGUGAAUCAUCGAAUCUUUGAACGCAUCUUGCGCUCCUUGGUAUUCUGAGGAGCAUGCCUGUUUGAGUGUCAUUAAAUUCUCAACUACACUGACUUUGAAUUGGUGUGGCUUGGAUUUGGGGGGAAAAUUGUUGUGGGCUUUUUGUAUAGUCUGCUCCCCUGAAAUUGAUUAGCGGUACCUUUGUGGAACUGUCUACAGGUGUGAUAAUUAUCUACAUCCUAGACAUCUGCUGGAAUGCUGCUUUCUAAACCUUACUUGUAUUGACAAUCUUGACCUCAAAUCAGGUAGGACUACCCGCUGAACUUAAGCAUAUCAAAAGCGGAGGA
rnacentral:misc_RNA from 1 species